AUAGUUUCUGAAAAAUUAUUAUUUUUUCCGAAAAACAAGAGCAAAGUUUACAAAAUAAAAGAUAAAACUAAAAAAAGCAACUAAAUUAGAAAACAAAACGAAAACAAGAGGAUCAGGUAGAAUCUUAUUAAUAUUUUUUUUGGAAAAGGAAUCUUAUUAUUUUUUCCCAAAACAAGGGUAAAGUUUAUCCGGCUUUCCUGGUACCCAAGUAGCUUACGACCCCACAAGGCCACCACCACUUUCCUUUUUGAUGCCUCUGCUUUUACAGUUACGAGUCACCCUCCCGGCUUCCUCACAAAUGACAAUCCAGCUACAGAAAAUCUAGAAUUUUCUGCUACUUUGAUUUUAUGUACUCUGCUUAUAGGCGAUCCCUAUCUUACAAUUAAUGUAAGAUACACCAUUGCAUGAAUUAGAUGUGGUAAAAAUAUCCACCCGGUCCGGACCCAAACCGUACCCGAACAUUGCGGGUCGGGUAUUACUCGGCCCGGGUAUGAAGCCGAGUCGGUCUUGGGCAUCACUUGAUAAAUCCGGAACCCGAAUUUUAUUAAAAAAA
rnacentral:lncRNA from 1 species